rnacentral:misc_RNA from 1 species
GAAGUGCGAUAAGUAGUGUGAAUUGCAGAAUUCCGUGGAUCAUCGAAUUUUUGAACGCAAAUUGCACUCUCUGGUAUUCCGGAGAGUAUGCCUGUUUGAGGGUCAUCAAAUAAAAAAUCGAUUUUGUUACCUUGGUAACGUUUCGGAAUUGGGUCAUCUUAAACCUUCAGGUUCAAGAGGCUUAAAAUUGAUCGUUUUUUGGUAUGAAUUAAGCGUAUUUAAGAUCUCUUAUCACGCGCUUGACUCCUAUCGGAUGUUUAUUAGGCGUGACCGUGAUCAUGGUUUCGCGCCCAUAAUCUUUCAAUGAAAUGACCUCAAAUCAGGUAGGAAUACCCGCUGAACUUAA